CCUCGUCCAUGUCGUAGGAGGUGGUAACAGCUCGCAACUGUUCUGGCUAACGGGGCUCUGGUUUGGACUGCUUUGUGUCCAAGAGAGUAUUGUUUCACUCACAAAGGUUGGAGGAUACUUGGAGACGCCUGAACGUACCACUUGGAAAUUGCUGUGUAGCACCUGAAUACUUUUAUGUAUCUGCUCCAAAUUUUGUACUGAAUGUGCCAAGACCUUGGUGUAUCAGGAAAUCUAGAGCCUGACUGACUGUCGAUCCCCAGCAUCCAGACACACAUUGUAAACUCCAAAAAUAGAAGCUGUUUUUUGUUUUUCUGACAUUUUCUCCUGUAUUUGAUGGCCUUAAAUGUAACCUAAAUGAAGGAAAUAAAAGCCAGGAGGUGAAUGAA